CCAGUAAGAAUUCAUAAAAGCUACUUUCCAAUUACACAGAUUUCUAGUCACGCAGAUCUUAUGCUUUUAAUGUUAUAGUAGUUUGACACCUGGAAGCCAUAAGUAUGCAAACUGCGUUGCUGUGUUGGUUUUAUUUGCCAGCUGUUCCCCACAGCAAACACAUAGCACCACUUUCCAUCAGCAAUCCAUCGCUAUUACACCCAAAAUGCUGCCCUUACACCAUGAAAUUGCCAC